AUAUAUCAACCUCUUCAGCUUUUGCUUGUUGAGUGUUGGAUGUGGGAGUCUUUUUGUUGGUCUUUUUAAAAGAGAUCAGCUCUCCUAAAAUGUAUUAGCAGAACAAUUUGUUGACCGUUCAUUAGUGUGAUAAUUAUCUACGCUAUUGAUGUAAGGCAGUUCAGCUUCUAACAGUUCAUUGACUUGAACAAUUUUUCAUUA
rnacentral:misc_RNA from 1 species